UAGCUCAGAGGUUAAGAGCACUGGUUGCUCUUCCAGAGGUCCUGAGUUCAAUUCUCAG
rnacentral:tRNA from 1 species